GACGAACGCUGGCGGCGUGCUUAACACAUGCAAGUCGAGCGGAAAGGCUCUGCUUUCAGGGUACUUUAGUGGCGAACGGGUGAGUAACUCGUGGGUGAUCUGCCCUUCUUUUCGGGAUAAGCCUGGGAAGCUGGGUCUAAUACCUACUAGGUGCCAUCUUUAGUGUGAUGUUUUGAGAUUUUUUUCGGUUUAGGAUGAGCUCGCGGCCUAUCCGCUUUUUGGUGGGGUAAUGGCCUACCAAGGCGGAGACGGGUAGGCGGCCUCAGAGGGUGGCCGGGCACAUUGGGACUGAGAGACGGCGCAGACGCCAACGGGAGGCAGCAGAGGGGAAUAUGGCACAAUGGGGGCAAGCGUGAGGAAGAGACGCUGCGUGGGGGAUGACGGGCUGCGGGUGGUAAACGCCGGUGGCGAGGGAAGAAGCAUUUUGUGACGGUACCUAGAUAAGAAGCACCGGCUAACUACGUG
rnacentral:rRNA from 1 species